UGGGGAAUUUUGCACAAUGGGCGCAAGCCUGAUGCAGCGACGCCGCGUGAGGGAUGAAGGCCUUCGGGUUGUAAACCUUUUUCGCUCAUGGUCAAGCCGCAGCUUUGGGUUGUGGUGAGGGUAGUGGGUAAAGAAGCGCCGGCUAACUACGUGCCAGCAGCCGCGGUAAUACGUAGGGCGCGAGCGUUGUCCGGAAUUAUUGGGCGUAAAGCGAGCGCAGGCGGUCAAUUAAGUCUGAUGUGAAAGCCCCCGGCUCAACCGGGGAGGGUCAUUGGAAACUGGUUGACUUGAGUGCAGAAGAGGAGAGUGGAAUUCCAUGUGUAGCGGUGAAAUGCGUAGAUAUAUGGAGGAACACCAGUGGCGAAGGCGACUCUCUGGUCUGUAACUGACGCUGAGGUUCGAAAGCGUGGGUAGCAAACAGG
rnacentral:rRNA from 1 species